UAUGGAUCUUCCUUAGAAGAACAUGAAGUUGCUUCUGUGGAACUGGUUAUCAGCCAUGGCCUCAACAAUCCAUAAUCCAGUCAUGGAGAGGAUUCCCCAUGGUCAGAAGUCAACUUGCACAUCUAGUUAAAGUCCAAGCGCUUCUCUCACGGGGGCAACAGCUGCGGGGAUUCUGUCCCUUGUAGACCCUUGACCCAGAGACCGAUGAAUCAAGUACACAGACACACAGAUAUUCUGCUUUACCAGUCCAACUGAGUGUGUCUGAGCCACUUACAGACUCCAGCAGAGUCCUGUAAACAGUUGCGACUCAGCCUCCAUCGGCUGUUAUCCACAAUGGCCAGCUGACCUCCUUGCAGUGCUUCAACCAUUCUAGGCAUGCUCCCUCUUGGAGUGUGUGUAUGGAGCUCUUCUCCCCACCAACGAUGAUCUUCCCCCAUAUGUACUCGUGUAUCUCCUCUUCAUCUCUUUCAAAUCUGCUCAAAUGUCACCUUUUCAAUGAAACUUUACUUAAAUAUUAUCACACU